GAAAGAAAAUAGCUGCUAUAAAGAUGUAGCCACCAGAGUAGCUGUUGGUCUUGUUUCCACUCUCGAGUCCUGCCAUUCUGAGUUGUUGUUUUUGUUGUUGUUGUUACUGUUUUGAAGUCACAGAUGUUUCCCAGAGAACCUCACGCUCUUGUGCGUGGAGAAGGGGAUGAAGGCGCUCACAGUGUCAUUGUAACGGCAGAAUACUGGAAAAGCCAGUGACCAUCCACAAGCAUUUCAGAAUUGGAUGUGAAGAGUUAGAGACCCCCAUGGUGGAGCCAUGGAGUUAGGUAUUGGGAAACCACCACUCCCAGAUUCUCAGUCCCGCAUGAUGCCUUAGGUCAGUUCCACACUGCACUCUUCAGGCUGACUCGGAGAUUCCAGCUCCUGUCUUCUUGCAUAAAUAUAUCUCCACAUACUUGUCUCCCCCCGUGUUUAGGACUCUGCGUUGGAGGGCCUUUGGAGCCUGCUGUGUGCUGGGCACGCUGCCACCUUAGAGAGGGAUGGUCUCUGGGUG
rnacentral:lncRNA from 1 species